rnacentral:rRNA from 1 species
UACGUAGGGGCAAGCGUUGUCCGGAAUCAUUGGGCGUAAAGAGCGUGUAGGCGGCCAGAUAAGUCCGCUGUGAAAUCUCGAAGGCUCAACUUCGAGCUGUCGGUGGAAACUGUCUGGCUAGAGUCCGGAAGAGGAGAAUGGAAUUCCCGGUGUAGCGGUGAAAUGCGCAGAUAUCGGGAAGAACACCCGUGGCGAAGGCGGUUCACUGGGACGGUACUGGACGGCUGAGACGCGAAACGUUGGGGAGCGAACAGG